GAGUUUGAUCCUGGCUCAGAUUGAACGCUGGCGGCAGGCCUAACACAUGCAAGUCGAGCGGUAGAGAGAAGCUUGCUUCUCUUGAGAGCGGCGGACGGGUGAGUAAUGCCUAGGAAUCUGCCUGGUAGUGGGGGAUAACGCUCGGAAACGGACGCUAAUACCGCAUACGUCCUACGGGAGAAAGCAGGGGACCUUCGGGCCUUGCGCUAUCAGAUGAGCCUAGGUCGGAUUAGCUAGUUGGUGAGGUAAUGGCUCACCAAGGCGACGAUCCGUAACUGGUCUGAGAGGAUGAUCAGUCACACUGGAACUGAGACACGGUCCAGACUCCUACGGGAGGCAGCAGUGGGGAAUAUUGGACAAGUGGGCGAAAGCCUGAUCCAGCCAUGCCGCGUGUGUGAAGAAGGUCUUCGGAUUGUAAAGCACUUUAAGUUGGGAGGAAGGGCAGUAAAUUAAUACUUUGCUGUUUUGACGUUACCGACAGAAUAAG
rnacentral:rRNA from 1 species